CGCCCGCAGACUUGUUCGUAGGAGACUCAUCCCUCCCGACGGGUGGAGGAUAUAACCCGAAUGCAAAACGGAACCUGGUGAGACGUGACAACCAGUGGGGAACCUUCCCGGUCUGACUGAACCCUGAGAAGACCCAAGGGGCGGUCAUAGGCCUUCAAAUCUAUGGAAGGGGCACUGACCCUGGAACCCUACUUCAUAUCAAACGGGUGAACAUGGAGGAGUUCAGGCAUCUGAGGAUCAAGGACACAGAAAAAAGAAGUACCCUACAAACUGAAAAUUGGAAGGAUGAUGAGUGGCCCCCGGAACACAUUAUACACUACCACAGGCCAGCCACCCAGGCCGAGGACGUGUCCUAUGGUUAGAGGACCCCUAUUUACAUGCUAAACCUCAUAAUUAGGUUGCAAACUGUGGUUGAAAUCAUAACAAAUGAGACUGCAAAGGCACUCAAUACCUUAGCUAACCAACAUACAAAGGUUCACAAUGCAAUUUAUAAAAACCGCUUAGCUUUAGAUUAUAUGCUUGCUUCUGAAGGGGGAAUCUGGGAAGUUUAAUCUUAGCAACUGCUGUCUACAAAUAGGUGAUGAAGGAAGGGUUAUAGAGGAAAUUACUGACAAUGAGGAAAGUUGCCCAAGUUCCAGUCCAAACCUGGAAAGGCUGGAGAGCCAGUGAGUCUGGUUCCCUACCUUUGGAGGAUUCAAACCCCUGAUAGGCAUAAUGUUCUUAAUACUGGGGAUAUGCCUGAUCCUGGUCUUGUCCCCUUAGUGCUACAAUUCGUCACCACACUCAUUGAAACUUUAAUUGAAAGAAAACAGCAGCCCGUGUGAUGUUAUUGUGGAAAUAUAAAGCCCUAGACCAAUUCAAAGGUCAAGAUGAUGCUCUGUAGCCUCUACAGAGGUAUGAGCCUCAAAGGGGGAAAUGAGAUGGGAGACCCAAGGAGAGUACGGUUUUUUUUUUUAAACCGAGAAAUGCUGGUGGUGUGGGGGGCUGCUUUCUAGUAAUGUGGCAGUGUUAGGGUAUGAAAGCGCAUGCGCCACCCCAUCCCACCCUGUAACCAACCAAUAAGAAAAGGUUGUUUCUUUUUAAACCUGUAAUGACAGUAUAAAAGGCAAGGCCCCACUGCGCUCGGGGCUCAGCCUUCGGUUAUGAAUCUGCCGAGCAAGUGCCGGCAUCAAUAAACGCUGCUUCUC